rnacentral:rRNA from 1 species
UACGUAGGGUGCAAGCGUUGUCCGGAAUUAUUGGGCGUAAAGCGCUCGUAGGCGGUUUGUCGCGUCUGCUGUGAAAACGCGAGGCUCAACCUCGCGCCUGCAGUGGGUACGGGCAGACUAGAGUGUGGUAGGGGAGAUUGGAAUUCCUGGUGUAGCGGUGAAAUGCGCAGAUAUCAGGAGGAACACCGGUGGCGAAGGCGGUGGUCUGGGCCGGCACUGACGCUGAGGAGCGAAAGCGUGGGGAGCAAACAGG